rnacentral:lncRNA from 10 species
UCAAGUUAAAUGCACCAACCAGCCCCCGCCCUGCUUUCUACUAUUAGACCCAAGUCCCCGUAUUUCCCUCGAGGCUCUCCAUCUGUCUCAUCAUUACCCACUUUUAUCCUUUGGACCCCCUGAGGUCUCACCACCUCACCCAGAGGGUGAAUAACAGCUGGGUUGCCCCCACAGCCGCCAAGAAUUUCUGAAGCACAGGGAAUCAUUGCCCACUGGGGAAUAGGUUCAUGAUUUCUCGGAAUGGGGCUUCCCAGAGGAUGCACAAAUGCCUCCCAGCUUCCCGGGGCAGCUGCGGGCACCAUCAGCACCCUUACAGUCUGGCAGAUGAGCCAGGGGGUGCAUAGGAGUGGAGGGUGCUGAGGACCUCUAUGGAUCGUUGGGAAAUGAUCUCUGUUCCUUCCCAGGCUAUUUCCAGACCCCAGGCCCCAGGGAGGGCAAUUGGCUGCUAUCCCCUUUCUUCCUUCCCUCCAAGUUCCCCAGCUCGAGAUGCUGUUUUGGGAAGGGAAAGGAAUGAGGUGGCUUUUGUCCCAUGCUGAGUCCUGCCGAAGGUUGCAGGUUUCAAACUUCUCCAACAGUGCUUCAAGUUCUCCCCAGUGCUGAGGGAUAUGGCAGGAGUUCUGGAAGGCUUAAGGAAAGAAGGGUGAGGUGGAGGGAGAAGAAGAGAAGUGUGAGUUUCUGCUCUAGAUGUGAAGUUCAAGGAUCCUAUCAUUUCAGCAGUGGCUCUCAUACACUAAAGUCAGAGUGGUCAUCUUUUCAUUCAUAAGCCUUUCAUUUGCAAUUGGAUAACAUUAUCUUUGCCUGGCAGGAGGCAGAAAAUGCCUUCCCACGAGAUAUGAGGUUGCCCUUUGUGCUGUGAUGAUGGUGUUGGAGUGUCCAUAAGGAGAGGGGAGGAAGAAGGGGAAAGGCCUAAAGUACCCAGUUGGUGUUAAUCGGGACAUCUCAGGCAAGACAAGUCAGAUGUUUCACCUGCUCCAAAAUAUCUGGCCUUGCUCCCCCACUCCCUGCCCUCCUGGAAUGCUUUCAGAAUUUUUGCACCUCUGGAAGUGGGAAGAUCAAUAUUUUAAAAACCUCAUCCGAAGCUCAGAGACCCCCUCCACAGCAUAGUAGGGGAUUUAUGCGCUGGUGUUUUGACAGUUUUCCCUGUGACUGAUGCAGAACUCAGUGACCUUCACUGGCUCCGUGAACCAGCGGUGGCAGUGUCGCUAUGUGCUGAGAAGCAACAGUUCAAUUCCAUUCCAGAGAUAGUUUUACUUCACUGGUAACCAAGUCAUUUCUCUAAGUCCCGUAGAGUUGGUACAAUCAGUCACAGACCAUC